rnacentral:rRNA from 1 species
GACGGAGGAUGCAAGCGUUAUCCGGAAUGAUUGGGCGUAAAGCGUCCGCAGGUGGCUUUUCAAGUCUGCUGUCAAAGACCGGGGCUUAACUUCGGAAAGGCAGUGGAAACUGAACAGCUAGAGUAUGGUAGGGGCAGAGGGAAUUCCUGGUGUAGCGGUGAAAUGCGUAGAGAUCAGGAAGAACAUCGGUGGCGAAGGCGGGUCUCUGGGCCGUAACUGACGCUGAGGAGCGAAAGCAUGGGGAGCGAACAGG